rnacentral:rRNA from 1 species
AUUGAACGCUGGCGGCAGGCCUAACACAUGCAAGUCGAACGGCAGCGGGGAGUAGCUUGCUACUCUGCCGGCGAGUGGCGGACGGGUGAGUAAUGCCUGGGGAGCUGCCCAAUCGAGGGGGAUACCAGUUGGAAACGACUGCUAAUACCGCAUACGCCCUGAGGGGGAAAGGUGGGGAUCUUCGGACCUACCGCGAUUGGAUGCACCCAGGUGGGAUUAGCUAGUUGGUGAGGUAACGGCUCACCAAGGCGACGAUCCUCUAGCUGGUCUGAGAGGAUGACCAGCCACACUGGAACUGAGACACGGUCCAGACUCCGUACGGGAGGCAGCAGGU